UACGUAGGGUGCAAGCGUUGUCCGGAAUUAUUAGGCGUAAAGAGCUCGUAGGCGGUUUGUCGCGUCUGCUGUGAAAACUCGGGGCUCAACUCCGAGCUUGCAGUGGGUACGGGCAGACUAGAGUGCGGUAGGGGAGACUGGAAUUCCUGGUGUAGCGGUGGAAUGCGCAGAUAUCAGGAGGAACACCGGUGGCGAAGGCGGGUCUCUGGGCCGUAACUGACGCUGAGGAGCGAAAGCAUGGGGAGCGAACAGG
rnacentral:rRNA from 1 species